UACAGAGGUCUCAAGCGUUGUUCGGAAUCACUGGGCGUAAAGGGUGCGUAGGCCGCACGGUAAGUCAGAGGUGAAAUCCCGGAGCUCAACUUCGGAAUUGCCUCCGAUACUGCCGUGCUUGAGGACUGGAGAGGAGAUUGGAAUUCACAGUGGAGCAGUGAAAUGCGUAGAUAUUGUGAGGAACACUGGUGGCGAAGGCGAAUCUCUGGACAGUUCCUGACGCUGAGGCACGAAGGCCAGGGGAGCAAACGGG
rnacentral:rRNA from 1 species